GCUGGGUGCUGUGGCGUGCAUCUGUGAUCUAGCUACUUGUAGGCUGAUCUCUCGAAUGACAUGAUUUCAGGACCACUGCAGUGCAGUCUCCUAUGUCAAACGAGCGUCCACACUAAGCUCAAUGUCAACAUGGUUCUCAUGUAGGGAUGCAAGAUACACCAGGUUCGAUAAUGAAGAACGCAUUGGCCAAGGGCGGAAACGCAGUAGGCAAAAGUUCUCACAAUGAGCAUUAGCAGGAUAUCGCUUUGGAGUGACGUUGUGCUGUAAGUUAAACAAUACAGUCGAGCCAAGAGCGGU
rnacentral:SRP_RNA from 1 species